UACAGAGGGGGCAAGCGUUGUUCGGAAUUACUGGGCGUAAAGGGCGCGUAGGCGGCCUUCUAAGUCGAACGUGAAAUCCCCGGGCUCAACCCGGGAACUGCGUCCGAUACUGGAAGGCUUGAAUCCGGGAGAGGGAUGUGGAAUUCCAGGUGUAGCGGUGAAAUGCGUAGAUAUCUGGAGGAACACCGGUGGCGAAGGCGGGUUGCUGGGCUGACACUGACGCUGACAGCGCGAAAGCUAGGGGAGCGAAGCGGG
rnacentral:rRNA from 1 species